rnacentral:rRNA from 1 species
UGAGUAACACGUGGGUGAUCUGCCCUGCACUUCGGGAUAAGCUUGGGAAACUGGGUCUAAUACCGGAUAGGACCGCACUUUAGUGUGUGUGGUGGAAAGUUUUUUCGGUGUAGGAUGAGCUCGCGGCCUAUCAGCUUGUUGGUGGGGUAAUGGCCUACCAAGGCGGCGACGGGUAGCCGGCCUGAGAGGGUGUACGGCCACAUUGGGACUGAGAUACGGCCCAG